GAAUUGGUGUUAUAUGUUGGGUCGGAUAUAAUGUGGUUUUGAUGGAUUGGGCUGGUCCAUUGGGCCUUUGGCCGGUCUAGAACAGGGAUAUGAAAGAUUUUUUUUAAAUGUCCAUGAUAUGACAAAUAACAAAAAAGACCGGCUUUAUGAAGGAUUUGGAUCAUCUUUUGGAUAUGUUGUAGGCUAUUCAGCCCAAGCAAGAUAUGAAAGACUCAUUUGUG
rnacentral:lncRNA from 1 species